CCCCUCUCCGCUCCGGCUUCUGCAGGGCGAGGAGGGGGCGGGCCGUGCAGCCGGUGACUUCAUGGGGAGGAGGCGGUAGCGGCAGGAGGUGGGUCUCUCCCUUUCUCUUUCUGCAGGGCGAGGAGGGGAGAAACAGCUGCUCCCCCAGGCCAGCCGGGGAGGAGGAGGACCACAGUGACUGAAAGCAGCAGCUGGGGGAGAGGGCUCCAGCUGAUCUGAUUUCCUCCCUCCCACCCCAUCCCCCAGUUAGAGGAGAAUGGAGCUCGGGUAAUCAGGGCUGGCAGGAGGUGCAGCUGGAGCAGGAAUUCCUGGGGACCCAGCUGAAUUGAUGGAGGAAUGAUGUGCUGAUGCCUAUUUUCUGAGAUGAUGAUGAUGAUAUAUAACUUUUUAUAUACUAGUUCUUUUCAUCAGCACACCUUGAAGCACUUUACCAAGAAGUUUACAGGGUAGACAGGACUGGAACUAUUUCUGCAGCUUCUGGGAGCCUGAUGCUAAGCAAUGUGACAACAUAAAUCUGAAAACAUUAUUACUGUUGGAAACAACUGGA